rnacentral:lncRNA from 1 species
UGCGUGCGCGGGGACAAGGCUGGGCUGUGGACGUGUGGGCGGCAAGGGCGACCCUGGGCGCAGCCUGGCGCAGUCGGGGACCCGCUCUGCCAGGAGCUCAGGAGCGCUGGGGAACGCACCCAGGAAGAAGCGGUUGCGGUGCCGCCGCCUCCGCCCUGACGGCAGCGGGGGCGGGGGGCGCACAGAACUUUUCCCCGCGUGACCCCCUUGCUGCGGGAAGCAGGGGUCGGGGUACCCCAGCGCCACAAACGUGGGUCCUACGAUGUCCUAAGUUCCCCAGAAUCUUGGCGUCAAAGGCAGCCCAACCUCCCCCACACACUCCCGGCACUACAAGCACCGUGACGUCAGUGCUCCUUCUACAGCGGCAUCCCUUGCACGCUGUCUCAUGACGUCACGCACGGACACGCUUCCCGGCCCCGCCCACGGAGGCGCCCAGGGAACAGUUCAUCCGCGGGACCAGGAUCCGCAGACCCGCGGACGGGUGCCCCAAGUGAACGGCGCUGCCGGGCAGGCGGUUUAGCGCGGUCUCCCCGCCCGGCCAGCGCGGUUUCCGGGCACCGGCGGCCGCGGCCCAGGCGCCCCGCCCUCUCCACGCGCCUCCCGGCUCACGGCGCAUGCUCGGCGCGCAGGCGCAGAAGGACUCACCGGCCCGGGCGGCAGGUGCCGCUGCCUGAGGGCUCGCAGAAGUGCUUAGUUAGCUUUGCUCUCUGGGACGCUGGCUUGGCGAGCGCGCCUGUCGGCUGGCGUCUGUGAACGCUAGAGAUGCAGAUGAAGGUCUGAGUGGACUUCAGUUGAUCACCUGGGUAAAAGGAAUUUGGAAGCAGUAAGCCUCUGUCUCCAAACAAAUUUUAUUACUGAACAUCACUGGGUCACUUCCAGCUGGAAACCAAGGCAGGAGGACAAUGAUCUGGAACUUGCAGCCUCGAGGAUUGUGAGAAUCUGGAUUUCUGUUAUUGAAGCCACCCAACCUGUGUUAUUUUGUUUUCUGGAUGAGUCUUCUCUUCGGAAUGUGAGUGAUGAACUGGCAGGGAUUCUAUCUGUCAGUGACCCUGUAUUCCCAAGAUUCAGCAUGGGGCUUUCCCCUGGCUUGCAGAAGGCCUUGGGUAGAGUUUGCAAAAUUGUGCUUCAUUGCACCUUUACUGCCUGGGUCCUAGGAUCUCACAGCUACAAGUUGACCCAGGGCAUUCUUCCUCUCCUACUCUGUUCACCUGUGCUCUGACCCACUCCCCAGGAGAUGAUGGAGGUGGAGUUGUCUCAGCUGCACAUAGCUUCCAUGGACUGUUGAUUUACUGGCUCCUUGCAGAGGGCUUGGCGGCCGGCUGUCUCCACUGGCCCUUGUAAAGCGGCUCCCUCCUCCUCACCCUUCACCAGCAGCCGCCCCACUGACUGCCAGGGCAGAAUUUAUGACAAGGAUUCAUCAGAUUAGGAGGGACAGGACACGGUUCUUUUUCCACUGUGUGCAGAAUGCAGUUGGACAGCAUUACAGGCCCCUCUGACUGCUGAACAAACCCACGUUGUCAUGCUUGGCAUUUUCUGACUUGAGGAGUCCCUGGAAGCAUUCUACAUUGAUGAGAAAUAACUUUAUAAUGUUUUGAAGUGAAAUAUAAACUUUCCUCUUUCGGGCCCCACUCGGGCUCAGGGCUGCCUCCUGCCAGGCUUUGGAAUCUCCGUGUGGUGCCUUUUCACCACAAUUUGCUCUUUAUCCAGACCAAAAGGCAACUGUGGGCUUUCACCCAACCACUACUUCCUCUUCUAAGAUUGGAAUAGUUUCCCUCAAUCCUGAAAACCACUCGUCUCAUCUCCUUGUCAAGGGUUGGUGAGAGGGAACUCACUACUGCUCCUCCCUACAUAUUAUUUGAUCAUUAGACUCCAUUGCUUCAUAGAAAGUUUUUCAAAAGGUGGAUUUUACAUA